GACGUAGGGGGCGAGCGUUGUCCGGAUUUAUUGGGCGUAAAGAGCUCGUAGGCGGCUCGUUGCGUCGGCUGUGAAAACCCGCAGCUCAACUGUGGGCUUGCGGUGGAUACGGGCAGACUUGAGUUCGGUAGGGGAGACUGGAAUUCCUGGUGUAGCGGUGAAAUGCGCAGAUAUCAGGAGGAACACCGGUGGCGAAGGCGGGUCUCUGGGCCGAUACUGACGCUGAGGAGCGAAAGCGUGGGGAGCGAACAGG
rnacentral:rRNA from 1 species